AGCAGCCGCGGUAAUUCCAGCUCCAAUAGCGUAUAUUAAAGUUGUUGCAGUUAAAAAGCUCGUAGUUGAAUUUCGGGGUCAAUAGAUCGGUCGUGCCACUGGUAUGUACUGGUCUCACUGAUUCCUCCUUCCUGAUGAACCGUAAUGCCAUUAAUUUGGUGUUGCGGGGAAUCUGGACUGUUACUUUGAAAAAAUUAGAGUGUUUAAAGCAGGCUAACGCUUGAAUACAUUAGCAUGGAAUAAUGAAAUAGGACGUUUGAUCCUAUUUUGUUGGUUUCUAGGAUUGACGUAAUGAUUAAUAGGGAUAGUUGGGGGCAUUAGUAUUCAAUUGUCAGAGGUGAAAUUCUUGGAUUUAUUGAAGACUAACUACUGCGAAAGCAUUUGCCAAGGAUGUUUUCAUUAAUCAAGAACGAAAGUUAGGGGAUCGAAGACGAUCAGAUACCGUCGUAGUCUUAACCAUAAACUAUGCCGACUAGGGAUCGGAUGAUGUUAAUUUUUAAUGUACUCAUUCGG
rnacentral:rRNA from 1 species